CUGCUGAUUAACAGGUUUUAGAUUCAGGAAGACUGAAAGAAUAUGAUGAGCCGUAUGUUUUGCUGCAAAAUAAAGAGAGCCUAUUUUACAAGAUGGUGCAACAACUGGGCAAGGCAGAAGCCGCUGCCCUCACUGAAACAGCAAAACAGGUAUACUUCAAAAGAAAUUAUCCACAUAUUGGUCACACUGACCACAUGGUUACAAACACCUCCAAUGGACAGCCCUCGACCUUAACUAUUUUCGAGACAGCACUGUGAAUCCAACCAAAAUGUCAAGUCCGUUCCGAAGGCAUUUUCCACUAGUUUUUGGACUAUGUAAACCACUUUGUACUUUUUUUUUACUUUGGCAACAAAUAUUUAUACAUACAAGAUGCUAGUUCAUUUGAAUGUUUCUCCCAACUUAUCCAAGGAUCUCCAGCUCUAACAAAAUGGUUUAUUUUUAUUUAAAUGUCAAUAGUUGUUUUUUAAAAUCCAAAUCAGAGGUGCAGGCCACCAGUUAAAUGCUGUCUAUCAGGUUUUGUGCCUUAAGAGACUACAGAGUCAAAGCUCAUUUUUAAAGGAGUAGGACAAAGUUGUCACAGGUUUUUGUUGUUGUUUUUACUGCCCCCAAAAUUACAUGUUUAUUUCCAUUUAUAUCAGGGAUUCUAUUUACUUGAAGACUGUGAAGUUGCCAUUUUGUCUCAUUGUUUUCUUUGACAUAACUAGGAUCCAUUAUUUCCCCUGAAGGCUUCUUGUUAGAAAAUAGUACAGUUACAACCAAUAGGAACAACAAAAAGA
rnacentral:lncRNA from 1 species